UACGUAGGGUGCGAGCGUUGUCCGGAAUUAUUGGGCGUAAAGGGCUCGUAGGCGGUUUGUCGCGUCGGGAGUGAAAACUCAGGGCUUAACCCUGAGCCUGCUUCCGAUACGGGCAGACUAGAGGUAUGCAGGGGAGAACGGAAUUCCUGGUGUAGCGGUGAAAUGCGCAGAUAUCAGGAGGAACACCGGUGGCGAAGGCGGUUCUCUGGGCAUUACCUGACGCUGAGGAGCGAAAGUGUGGGGAGCGAACGGG
rnacentral:rRNA from 1 species